rnacentral:lncRNA from 1 species
UAAAAAAAAAGACCUCACAUGCAUUGGUCAAUGACUUAAAUAGUUAAUUGAUGAUCAAAGAUAUUGUAAAGUGGUAGCUGUCUGGUUCCUAAAGAUAUAUGGUUACUUAGAACAACUCAAACAAAAUGGGGAAGAAAUACAGAUUGUUGUAAUAAUAAAAAAAAGAAAAAAAGAAAAAAUAGCUAAUUAGGUGCAAUAAAUUUUAUCCGUAGGAUAGACAAAUAUUUAUCGAGAGAUGUAGAAAUCCAACAAUUGCCGUUCUUGGCCAUAUACAAAACUCAAACUUUUUCUUUUCCUAAUAGAUAUAGUUGGCAUGCUCUUA